rnacentral:sRNA from 1 species
AUUUAUACAAUUAUUAAUUUAUAAUAUUGAUGGGACCAUAUAUUUACAUAAGAUUUUCAAAAAAAGUUACUAUCUUAUUAAUUUAUC